CAAGAGAGAUGUAAAGCUACAGGCAUGGGGGAGGCAUGCAGUCAGCAAUGACUCCUCAGUCUUCUGGUUUUUUUCUCUCCUCCUCUUACUAACACUGGCAUUCUUGUUACUACUGCUGCUGUUUUGAUUGUUCUUGCUAUUAUUAUUUUUAUCUUUGGCCCUGUAAGAAUGUAACAUUAGAAGAGACAAUAGGAAUAAAAAUACGAUACUAAAGCCCAUGCGAUAAGACAAUAUACACAAUAAGAAAAACACUAUAGGUGGUUCCCCCAACCCUAAAUAAAUAGAGCAGGCAGUAGAAGUCAGCGUCACUUCCCAAGCUAGGAGAGUAACUGCUGUGGCUGCUGUUUCCGGGGCCUGGUCAAGCCAUUGGAGCUUUGAAACAGUGCUAGUCUUCUGUUUCCAAGUAGAUACUCAUGCAAAGUUUGUAUUCCCACCUUUCUCCUGGAGGACAGGGAUGGGUUGAUUUUUAUUCAGUUUUAUUCCUCACAUUCAUCAUAAUAGUCAAUAAGCAUGUAUUUAAGAAUUAAUGAACGAAAGAACAAAUAGAUAAAUGGAAAGUUAUGAUGUCAUAUAUCUGAAUGAACAUUUGCUCCUUUCCAAGGCAAGCUGUUUCAAGUUGAAAUCAUAAAUUGUAAAUGACCAAGAUACUCCAUUAUGGAAAAAUAUGAAAAGUAUUUGCACAAGUAGGGAAUGUGUCACACGCAGCUUGCUGCAGUCCCUGAACAGCGGGUGAGCUUAUGAAGUGCGAGGAAAAACUGAUCCCAAAGAGGGAUUCCACGAGGAGGGUGGCCUCUAACCAAGACAACAGCAGGCCGAUGUGGGCAUCAUCUUUUAGGGAGGCUGAGUGGGAAAGGGCUGAUUGUAGCUUCCAAACAGCAGUGAAAUGUGUCUUUAAUUUUCAGUUACAGCCCAGAGAGGUAAAUGCUACUUUCAGCCAUCUCAUGCUUUCUCAUAGGGGCAAAUCAAAAGCCUGGAGUAACCAAGCCCAGGUUACAGCUGGAAAUGGUCUCUCUCAGUAGGAGUCAAGACCCACAGACCCUCCAUAGUCUUCAUUCAUUUGAGUCUUGGGCCUAGAACUUUAAACCACAACAUGGAACUCCCAAGCCUUCCUAAAUGAGUAAAAUCAUCCCAAUAGGCAGGAACACUAGCCCUGGCUGCCACAGGAAUGACUGGAAACAAAGCAUGAUUUAGUCACAGGAAGGUGUUUCUCAAGAGAGAAACCUCAAGACCGCUCUUAUUUCUUUAGAUAAAGCAUUAUGCACAAAAACCAAGAAUAUCAGCAACUUUCUCAUCUAUUCAUUUCACUAAUCACUAAUUCUUUUUUGCUUGUUUGUUUUUAUUUUUGAGAUGGAGCCUCACUCUGUUGCCCACGCUAGAGUCCAGUGGUGCAACAUCGGCUCACUGCAAGCUCAGCCUCCUGGGUUCACACCAUUCUCCUGCCUUAGCCUCCAAAGUAGCUGGGCUACAGGCGCCGCCACCACGCCUGGCUAAUUUUUGUAUUUUUGGAAAGACAGAGUUUCACUGUGUUAGCCAGGAUGGUCUCGAUCUCCUGACCUCCUGAUCUGCCUGCCUCAGCCUCCCAAAGUGCUGGGAUUACAGGUGUGAGCCACCAUGCCUGGCCAUUUUCUUUAUUCUUAAAUAUGAUUCUUUGAAUGACCCCAUCUAACUGAACUACUUUUUAUUUACAAAUUUACUUUGAAUAUGUUUUCAUCUUUCAAGGGCUUUCUAUAUAGCCUGAAACAUUGCUUUGAACUGAAUUUGUCUUUGAUUAAUGAACUGUCUUCACAGUUGUUCUGAGUUGCCUGCCAAAAAAAAAAAAAAAAA
ensembl:lncRNA